rnacentral:snRNA from 13 species
UUACUUAUCUUAAGAGGGAAUGUCAUGAACACAGAAGUGGUUUUCCCAGGGUGAGGCUCAUCCAUUGUACCAGAGGUAUACUUAUGCCAGCAAUUUUCUGAAAUGUCGGGGAAACUACUGCAUAAUUUGUUGUUGGAUCAUGGGACUUCAUUUCAAUGUCCCCUAGC